rnacentral:rRNA from 1 species
AUUGAACGCUGGCGGCAGGCCUAACACAUGCAAGUCGAGCGAGCGGCGGACGGGUGAGUAAUGUAUGGGGACUGCCCGAUAGAGGGGGAUAACUACUGGAAACGGUGGCUAAUACCGCAUACUAUCGGAUAACCCAUAUGGGCGUAGCUAGUAGGUGGGGUAAAGGCUAACCUAGGCGACGAUCUCUAGCUGGUCUGAGCGGAGGAGCAGCCACACGGGGACGGAGACACGGCCAAGACUCCUACGGAGGCAGCGGUGGGGAAUAUUGCACAAUGGGCGAAAGCCUGAUGCAGCCAGGCGGCGUGUAUGAAGAAGGCCUUAGGGUGGUAAAGUACUUUCAGCGGGGAGGCGGUACCCGCAGAAGAAGCACCGGCUAACUCCGUGCCAGCAGCCGCGGUAAUUC